UGCCCGGCUGGAGGUGGCCACGUGCUCGUGCCGCUGCCCGAAGCAGCGUUGUUUUAAAGCACCCAAGACGCGCUUGAAGAGGUCUUAAAGCCACAACACGGUUCAGUGAGCUAAAUAUAGAACCCCUUCCUGCAUCUCCCACCCUGCCCAUCAUUCAGCUUCCUAAAAUACCCACAUGCGCGCACACACCACACGGGUUUCUGGAAUAGAGCUGGUAUCUAGGUCCCGGCGGGAGCACCUGGGUUCAGAGAGGGCAGGCGCGUCGCAGGAGCUAGCCCGCCGCCCAGACGGCUGCUCACAGUGGCCUCGAGGGCCACCUUCCAACAGAAAGCUCCUCGGCCCCGGAGUCCGCCUGGCAGGUGCUGAGUCCCAGAGGGCCCCGUGGGGAUGCCCCGCAAGGCAGGCCCUCUGGUUUCCUCGUGUUCACAUGGGGCCGAGCACGCUGUGCCCCACCAGCGGGUGAGGGGCCUGAUGGCCGUUAGCACAGGGCGUCAGCGCUGCGCCGGGGGGCUGAGAAGGCAUUUCACGGGCCAUUCCCGCUGCCAUUCGGUCCAGGGAGCGGGGAGUGCUUACGGGUGGGAGCCGGUAGGCCAGGGGUCAGGAGGUGUCCCCUGGGUGCAAGAGCCCCAGCCCUCAGCCUGGCCCAGGAUCUCUGUUCUUUCCUCAACACCACCCGCCCUCCAUGGGAGGAGUGCGCCAAGGGCGGGUCUCACCCACGAGGCGUGGUCCUCACCCGUGAGCGAGACCCAGCGCCCACCACGGGGCCUGAGGAACCCGAGUCACGGCCCCACCCCGCGCGUCUGAUCCCACAGGCCUGGGGGACUCUGUCCCUCUCACCCACAUGGGAGCCAGACCCGUGUGUGUCCUGCCUGCUCUGGCCUCUGUGUUUCCCUCCAGGACGCAGGACGUUCCUCCAAGCGCCACCGGUGAGGACCUCUGGGGCGGAGAGAAGGUCAAGUCCCAGCGCAGCAGCCGGGGCUCCGCCCGGUCCCCCAGCCGCAGGCUCUCCAGCCUCUGAACUGCGGGCUCCGCGCACGAGGCCGGCCUGGCAUGCUCCUUGUUCUGGGACUUGGACCGCAGUCUCUGGGCCCCGAAGCCCCGGUCGUCGGUGCCCCCCUUGCUGUAGCGUCUUUUCGGGGGGUGCACCUCCUGCGUGUACGAGUCCAUCCUCAGCAGGGGCUUCAUCUCCAUCUCGUAGUUGCUCAGCUUCUCCUCGUCCAGCUCCAGCAGCUUGGUGCUCCCCGGGCCGGGGUUGCCAGCCCGGUGGUGGGAAGUCCAGGAGAAUGUGGUGGGGGACCCCGUCCGCCGCUCCCGGGGCUUGGGGUUGCUGGGCUGCCUGUGGCCUGGGCCCCGGGCCCGGAAGGCUUCUGCGGGCUGGCCACUGCGGAGGGCGCCGCUGCGGACGCCCCUGGAGCCCCCGGCCUUCUCCUCUCCCCAGCUGUUCCGGGCGCAGUCCCCUCCCCGGCCCUCCAGGAGCAUCUGGAUGUCCCCACCCCGCUCCUCGUCCACCGAGACCUGCCGGGAGAAGUGGGCCACCUUGUUCCUCGAGGCGGGGGCCGGUGGAGGGGUGGCCGUGGGGCUGGCGGGGAAGCUCUGCAGGGGGCUGUCGUCGGGGGUGGUGCCCUUGCGGUACAGCUCUGGGCUCUCCUGCUGUAAGGGUGUCCCGGUGGAGAUGACCUCCAUGUCGUCACUGGAACGCUGCCGCUUCGGCCGCUGGUACUCGAGCCCUGGAUCAGGGGCGAGAUGGGGGCACAGAGGCGGGUUACCUGGAUGUUCCGUGUGGAGGCCCAGUCUCACCUGAGGAUGGCAGGGGACCAGGACCGGGCUAUGGCGGCAGGCAGCCAGGGCCCUCGCUGCCCACCCGCGGGCUAUGGGGCGAAGGAAGUGGGAGGGCAGUGUUCCCAAAGCCCCUAAUAGACCCUCCAAUUCCCCUCUGUGGGCACUUCAAGGAUGACCAGAGUGGGACGGGCAGGGUGGACAGUCGUUCUGGUCCAUGCCCCCGGCUGCAGGGGUGACCCAAGGCCCGAGAGCGUGCUGGCCUGGCCUGCUCGGGGAUUCGGAGGUCCCACGCCCGCGGACCCCUCCUGACGAUUAAAAAACAUCUCGUGCUAGGUGACCUUCUACAAGGCAGGACGUGGAGUGUUUGUGGCUGAAUUCCAAUGCUUCUGUUCCCUAUCUUGGGUCCUGUGGUUCUCAAGGCUGCGCCAAAGCCCAGGGAUCCUACCAGCGGGGCCAAGAACUGCAGGCUCUGGGAGGAGAGCUCAGGGCGUGGUCCCGGGACACACUCCACCCCAAACCUCGCGAGGCUUCCACUCGCUCUGGGAAGCCUGACCCAGGUGGGGCGACGCGUCGGGCUGGGAGGAUCGCGGCCUCAGCGGGCCUCUCCGAUCAAUGACGUCCCUGCUGCAGCCUCCCUGCCUCCCUCAGGCCCGUCCCCCAAGGGGGGACGAGGGCCUCGGGUCUGGCUGACUCUCAGUGGCUCUAGCUCCUUCCAGCCCCACCCCUUGGACAGGCGGGAGGCCCGCCCCCCAGCGUCCCAGAGCUGUGCUGACCAACUAGGCCACUGCUAGUCACGCGUGGCUGCUGAUGGAUCAGGCCAGGGUGCCCGCCAGCUGUUCUGAGCAUGGAGCAGACUGCACCAGAGCGAGAGCAGGACCUGCCUAGCCUGGGCUGUCUUCAUCCGGGGUGAGCCCAGGUCCUGCCGCCAGGAGGCUCCCUCCGUCCCCUAGCCCGGCUACAGGCUAGAGACCGCAACCCGUGACUGACUCAUCUCUGAACCGCCGGGGGCGGGCAGGUACUCCGUGUGGACCCGACCAGAGAUGACCGUCUGGGGGCGGCUGUGCCCCCCCCGCCCCACUGUGGGCAGAGCGGGCCACCCUCCAGGGUGAGCAACUGGCCAGCUUCGGGCAGGAAGGGGAGGGCUCGACAGCAGGACCAGCCCGCCCUCAGAAGAGGGCACAGGGCACGAGGAGUACGGCGCGCACGGCCCGCCCAGCCUCCCCCCGUCCUGUGUGAAGGGGCCUCGCUCGUCCCAGCGCCCUGCACCUGGGCCCCCGGCCAAGCAGUUCUUCAGCCCAAACCCUGUCCCCUGGAAGCUGCUGUCACCAGUCCGGUGUGUGCGGUGAAGUCUGAGCCCUGGUCUGCAGGUGCCGAGAGAAGGCAAGUCUGUGGCCCGGGAUGAGGCCCGACGCCGCUUAGCAGCUGGGGGGGCGAUGGACAGAGCCAGUGGUGGCACUGCCCUCGGGUGGGGCACACCCCAGGGUGGACACGGGGCCGCGAAUCCAAAUGAGCCGAUGACACCACCCUGACGCUUCCAGCAGCACAACCUCCCGCCCGGCGCUCAGCUGCCCCUCCCCAGCUGAGUCCGUGUGAGGCCCUUCGGGGGCAGGACUGGGUGCCCGAAGCAGGACAGCACCCAGCUCCUGAGGGUCUCCCCUGCCUGCGGUUUCCAUUUCUUCCUGCCUGGUGUCCUGGCUCCAGAGGCCCUGCUUCCCACCGGGGAAGCCAAGGCAACGACGACUGAUCCCCCGAGACGAGGGCAGCCUGCCCCCGUUACGCACUCCACGGGCUUAACCUGGAGACCCCUCACCCCUUGUGCGCCACUGGGUUCUGUUUUUUCAAAAUGCCACUGUGCUAACCAAGAAGAGUUUACAAGAAGAAAACCAACGUACGACGUACACACACGUACACCGUGUACGUCAUCACGUGAACCUGGGUCCAGGACGCGGAGCAGCGAGUAGCCUCCAGGCUUCUGCCACCCACCACCUGGGAGCAGGACCCACAGACGGAAGACACCUAUGUGCAAAAGUGCAGCAUUGAGAAAAUUCUAUCCUUUGCGUG